UCUUAAGUCUGGAAGAAACACGGAGCCCAGUAUCAAGGGAGUGGAGUAGUUCUUUUCCCAGACGUAGCACAGGGUUUUUCAAGCCUGAAGAAAAAGAUUAAUCUCCUUAAAACAAGGCUUUGUUGACUUGGGUCUGGUCAUGGCAAUCCUGUUUCCAGCCAUCCUGUGUAUAAGCUCUAACGGUCAGAAGUUUGUUUGCUUUGAUUUUGAUGUGGCUCAUCUUUUCUUAGCUGCUCAUAUUCAAGAUUUGGAAAAGAAGGAACGGUGGUGAGCUGAGCAAUUAAUUGGAUUCUGAUAAGGAGUUCUGGAGAAAUUUUAUUAUUCCUGAGUUUUAAACCCGUGUAACUUUAAUAUAACUUUGAUCACUAAUCUUCUCCAACAAAUUUUUAGCCUAUAUAAAAUAAAAAAAGGUACUCCUGCCCUAUGACUCAACUUACAAAUCUACAAACCUGGAGGAAGAAAUAGCUCUGUGAUCCAUUCCUGGGGAAUUGCAAUAAAGUUUUAGGGAAGAUGGAACUUAAUGUUUGUGAAAGCACGGGUCCUAUUUCCGAUUUCCAGGAGGGUGGAAUGUAUCUUCCUGAAUCACAUUCCGCUGAAAAUAGGAGGCCAUGGAAGAAAUCAGAUUUGAUUUCUGAACAAUCAU
rnacentral:lncRNA from 1 species